GAUGAACGCUGGCGGCGUGCCUAAUACAUGCAAGUCGAGCGAACAGACGAGGAGCUUGCUCCUCUGACGUUAGCGGCGGACGGGUGAGUAACACGUGGAUAACCUACCUAUAAGACUGGGAUAACUUCGGGAAACCGGAGCUAAUACCGGAUAAUAUAUUGAACCGCAUGGUUCAAUAGUGAAAGACGGUUUUGCUGUCACUUAUAGAUGGAUCCGCGCCGCAUUAGCUAGUUGGUAAGGUAACGGCUUACCAAGGCAACGAUGCGUAGCCGACCUGAGAGGGUGAUCGGCCACACUGGAACUGAGACACGGUCCAGACUCCUACGGGAGGCAGCAGUAGGGACUCUUCCGCAAUGGGCGAAAGCUUGACGGAGCAACGCCGCGUGAGUGAUGAAGGUCUUCGGUUCGUAAAACUCUGUUAUUAGGGAAAAACAAAUGUGUAAGUAACUAUGCACGUCUGGACGGUACCUAAUCAGAAGGCCACGGCUAACUACGU
rnacentral:rRNA from 1 species